UGGACAGAUUAUUGUAUUCGACUGUAUUUACGGCGUGAAAUAGGGGAUUACACUGUUUUUAAAACGGAAAGUGAAUCAAUUAACAUAAUAGACUCCU
rfam:Nicotiana sylvestris Nsyl_contig62491, whole genome shotgun sequence.